GACAGAGGGGGCAAGCGUUGCUCGGAAUCACUGGGCGUAAAGGGCGCGUAGGCGGGAUGGCAAGUCAGUCGUGAAAUCCCCCGGCUUAACCUGGGAACUGCGUCUGAUACUGGACGGCUUGAGUAUGGGAGAGGGAUGUAGAAUUCCAGGUGUAGCGGUGAAAUGCGUAGAUAUCUGGAGGAAUACCGGUGGCGAAGGCGGCAUCCUGGAUCAUUACUGACGCUGAGGCGCGAAAGCUAGGGGAGCAAACGGG
rnacentral:rRNA from 1 species